CCUACGGGUGGCAGCAGUAGGGAAUAUUGCUCAAUGGGGGAAACCCUGAAGCAGCAACGCCGCGUGGAGGAUGAAGGUUUUCUGAGUGGAAACCCCUUUUGGUAGAGAAGAAAAUGACGGUAUGUAAAGAAUAAGCACCGGCUAACUCAGUGCCAGCAGCCGCGGUAAUACGGAGGGUGCAAGCGUUACUCGGAAGCACUGGGCGUCAAGAGCGCGUAGGCGGGAUAGCAAGUCAGAUGUGAACUCCUCUGGCUUCACCAUAGAACUGCCUUUGAAACUGUUAUUCUAGAGUAUGGGAGCGGUAGGUGGAAUUCUUGGUGUAGCGGUCAAAUCCGUAGAGAUCACGC
rnacentral:rRNA from 1 species